GGGGAACAGGAGCGGCUGUCUAAGGUUAGGAGCAGGGCCUGCGGAAUCCGUGCGGCCCCCCGGGGAUCAGCCAGCGCCAAGCCGCGGGUGCCGAGUAUGUUCCAUGGGCAGAGGGAAGCACGCUUUCUCUGUUCUCCAGUGAGGCAUUUGGGUUCUUUUCCAGCGUGAGACUCUCCUACAGGUAGCCGCUACACACUGCUGUGAAGUUUUAUAUGAGUCUAUGUUUUCAUUUCUCAUUUCUCAUCUGUGAAGACCCAGAAGUAGAAGGCAGGGUCCUAUGGCAAGGGCAUAUUUAAGUUUGAAAGAAACUCAUUUCCAAAGCAACUGUACCAUCUUACAUGCCUACCAGCAGUGGAGGAGAGUUUGGGUUCCUCUCCAUCCUUGCCAGCACUAAGUGUUGCUCAUUGUUUUAAUUUUAGUUAUUCCAGUGGCUGUGUGUCCCCGCCAUUUUUUUAUAGUUGAAUGCUGCCUCUCAUUCAUAUAGUCCCCUCUUGGCCAUGUAAAUGGUUUCCAGGCCUUCUGCUAUUGCAAUCCAGGCUGUGAUGGAUAAUUUUAUAUACAAACUCAUCUGUGAGAUGAUUUCCUAAAAUGGGCUUCCUGGGUCAAAAGAUUUCUGUUUUUAUGACUUGGGAGGAUACACUUAAAUUGUCCUUCAAUUUGUGCCGAUGUACAAUUGCAGCAGCAGUAUCUCGAGGUCCCCUUGGCCUGCAACCUUACCGACGCAGUUCUCAAACUGUGAUACACUUGUCUGAAGGUCCCUUUCUUUACACAGAUGGGCUCCAGAUGAAGAAAGAAAACUACAGCAAGAGGGCUUGAAAGACGAUUCUAGAAGCAAUUCCCAAGUUUGGAGCAGUGGGAAGAAGAGGGACAGGCUAGAAAGUACAGAGCCCGUGCAUCUGGUAAGAGAGAUACGAGGGAAUGUUGAGGGGAAGUGGGGGAUGACAAGGUGACCCCAUCCCCCCCCAGCCCUGAACCCACCU